rnacentral:lncRNA from 1 species
AGAAAACAGAAGGAAGGAUGUUUCAGCGCACAGCUGCUGGGAGAUGAGGUUACAAUGCGAAGUUAAACAAAAGCAAAGGAAACAGAUCCCCUCCUGUGUGCAGGGAGAUGGGAGCCAAGCAAGUAGCUGCUUGGUUGACAUCACGGAGGCCGAGCAUUGGAUUACAACAAACAGGGACUUACUUGGCAAGGGAAGGGAGUGAGGAAACGCCUCCUGAGCCCUAGAAGUGCGACUGCAUUUAGCAGCUAUUAACGCAAGGAAACUGGAAGUCUGAAACUGUGACUAAGCUGUCUGCUCUGGCCCUUUGACAUUCCGAGAACACUCACGCUUGGGGGGAUGUGUGGGUGACCGAGCCGCACUUGAGCCUUGAGUUUUAACAGUUGGGGUUUCUAACUCGCCACACUGAGAGCUGUUGGAGCUUGGAGCCAUCUUCUGUAAGUAUAACUUCGAAUUCUGAACAAUGGUAGACAGCAGCUGCAUUGAAACCGUCGCUUUUAUGCCACAAAAUGUACGGUGUUGUAUAGUGAAGGGCUGAGUUGCGUGGUUGGCUGAGGUCCUCCCUAGAACACAUUUGUUUAAAAGAUCUUUUCUUCCGCAUGAACUUUUCGGUGUGUGGCAGAAAUGUGUUCACCAUGAAAUGUAUAACAGCUGUGGGGGGAAAGCAAUGUUCUAGUGAUUUAUCAACGAUUAAAUGAAGGGAGCAACAGUGAAAUGAAGGGUGAGAAAUCUUUCGCAGUCGAGGGAAAAUAAAGCGAAGUUUUUACAAAACUGAAAUUCAACUAUUAUUAAAAUUACUAGUUUCAUACAUGUAUUUGUGUGUGUGCAUGAGAGUUUUUUUGACUCUGGAAAUAAUUGUAUUUUACAUGGUACAGAAUGACCAUCAUAUUCUGCCAAUGAAGGAGUUGGACAAUGAGGAAUUUUUCAAUUUUAUGGUUAAGAAUAUUGAAACUAUUGAUUGUCAAGCUCCUUCACCUGUUGUGAAUGUUAACAACUGUCACCACCAGUUAACAAGUGAUUGAGAAGAGAAAGAACAUUGUGAUGUUCACAAUGGAUUGGAGGCAAAAAGUUGGGCCUAAAAGGCAGGAAUGGUUGGUGUGGAGGUCCAAACUGAAAAACUCAAUUCGUCCUGGUAGCUAGCAAGCUAGCAAAGAUGUAUUAUAUAUCAUAAUUUAUUAUUUAUAGCAUUCAAUUCCUGCCUCUUUGCCAAAAAGACUCUCAGAGUAGUGGCUUACAAAAGUCCGUACUGAGGCAGUCCCUACCUUCCAAGUUCACAAUCUAAAAAGACAUGGCACGCAAGGAAAUAGGAAUGGAAGGGAGGAGGAAAAAGCAAGCUCAAGCAUUAAUUCAACAAGUUACAGGUCUUAUAAGUUCUUAUAUACAGUUCUUAUGUAUGAAUAUAAAUUGCUGCUUACUUAGAUAUUUGUUUUGUCAAGCCCAGUAGUGCCAACUCUGACUUGCAGUAGCUCUCCAAAAUUUCAGGCAAAAGUCCUCCUUCCCCAACUCUGUUACCUGAGAUGCUCUUAACUGACUUUCCAGAUACUGAACUUGGAACCCUCCUCCUACAGACCAGAUCAUGGGCUCAGUCACUGAACCAUGGCUCUUCCCUACAGAGAUCUGUUGGCUGUGCGAAUUAGACCCAGGUCUGACCAGUCCAGUGUUUCACCUAUUUGAGCCUCUUCAACAGUUUUAUCUCUUCUCUAUAGCCAUCUUAAUGUCUAUAGGAAAAAGUAAUGGGUCCUUUGGCCUUGAAGUUUAGGCUGCCUCAAUAAUUCCUGUGAUUAGAAAAGCACCUUAGUAUCCUUUAUGCUGGGGAUGCGGGUGGCGCUGUGGGUUAAACCACAGAGCCUAGGACUUGCUGAUAAGAAGGUUGGCGGUUCGAAUCCCCGCGACGGGGUGAGCUCCCGUUGCUCUGUCCCUGCUCCUGCCAACCUUGCAGUUCGAAAGCACAUCAAAGUGCAAGUAGAUAAAUAGGUAUCCCUCCGGCAGGAAGGUAAACGGCGUUUCCGUGCGCUGCUCUGGUUCGCCAGAAGCAGCUUUGUCAUGCUGGCCACAUGACCUGGAAGCUGUACGCCGGCUCCCUCGGCCAAUAAAGCAAGAUGAGCGCCGCACCCCCAGAGUCGGCCACGACUGGACGUAAUGAUCAGGGGUCCCUUUACCUUUACCCUUUAUUCUGGAUCUCUGUUGAUGGUAUUGCAAACACAUGACAGUCAAAAACUAAAGGUAGCCUUGUUGGCCUAUGAGACAAAUUCCAAAACCCACAUUGGGCCAACCAGAAUGUCACAAAAUAGUGUGCAAGCUCGAGUUCUCCAGUACUCUUAAAUCAGGUUCAAAAUUCUCAAAAUGUCGGGACCCACUCGUGAGGGCUGACAUUUACUGUGUUGGACUGGAACUUGGGAGGCCAGGGUUUGAAUCCCCACUUGUUCAUGGAGCUCACCACACGACACAUACUGGAUGACUUCAAUCUUGGGUGAGAAUUUUCAUAAAGAAGUCUAUUGACUGCUGCUACUGGUUAACAGAAGGUUGGAAUAAACUUCACCGUGAAACUUAGUGUUAGACUAGGGGCUAACCCACACUUCUGUUUGCCCCAUGAUAUUUUCUGUUUGCCCCAUGGUUUCCAGCAGUGCCGGAUUUACGUAUAAGCUAAACAAGCUAUAGCUUAGGGCCCCACUCUCUUGGGGCCCCCCAAAUAAAACUAAAGAAAAACAACAACCUAGAUGUACAUUUCC